rnacentral:lncRNA from 10 species
CUCGAUCUCCUGACCUCAUGAUCCACCCGCCUCGGCCUCCCAAAGUGCUGGGAUUACAGGCGUGAGCCACCGCGCCCGGCCAAUACGGCAGUUUUAAGUAGGAAUUUACUAAGUUCAAAGCGAACUAAUGUGUCUCCUAAAAUUCAAGUCCUAUAUGGUGUCAGCAUUUUCAUUGUAAUUGAUAAAGUAUUAACCAGCCAUUUGAACAUCUAUUAUAUGAUAUGCACUGAGCUCAAGUCUAGAUACACAAAUGAGUAAUAAAUGAACCCUUCCAUGGUGUUACAGCUCUUUUAGAAUAUGUCUAGCAGGUUUUUCAGUUUUCACCAGAAUGCCCACCUCAAAACAGAGAUGAACUCCCUACUUAAAAAUGAGGAUAUGUGUGCUUUUAAUGUCAUGCAGAAUCAUACAGAUUUCCAUUUCAUUGGACCCUUAGAGGAAUCAUAUAGGCAAAUCAAAUGUACAUAGACUUCAUUGUUAAGACAAUGUAUUUGUAAUGGUUAGCUUUAGUUUUUCUAUUUAAAGGCGCAUGAAAAUAUUCUGAAUUGACGUCUACAGGAGAACAACAUUUUAGGAAUACAGGUGUGUUGAGUGACAUCAAUAUGUUGUACCAUCUUGAGCUUUAGAUAAUAUACUUUUAGCUUAUGCUGUGAUAGCAACAAUUUUAAAUAAAAGGAACUUGGAGGAGUGGAAGUCACACUAAUGAAACACUUGCCUUUAAUAAUGAUGAGGCUUUAUUUACCUAAUUUGAUGUACAUUUUGUACAAGUCAAAUACAAAGACAAUUGGGUUUAUAAAUGAGUAUUGAAAUUUGGAAUAGAUUUGAAGUUAAAAGGUUUUAAGCUUAUUUAAAAACAAUUUAGCUAUUUGACUUCUGUGUAAUUCAUUUCUAAAAUGUUCUAUUAUAUGUUUAUUUAAAUUUUUUAAGUUCAGAGCAAGAUCUAGCAAAGUUUGUCCUGAGGGGCUAUACAGAAAAUGUCGUAGGCUUUGUGGCCCAGAAGGCAAAUUUCAGAGUAUCACGUCGGUGCUUAUUAUAAUCAUUUCAAUUGUAACCAUUUAAAUAUAUAAAAACCAUUCUUAGCUUACUGGCCACUAAAAGGGCAGGGGCUGGCCAGAUUUGGUCUGUGGGCUGUAGUUUGCAGACUUCAAGUUCGGAAGGGAAAUCUUAUAGAUCAGAACUCUCUGUUCUUUAUUAUAAAAUUUUUCCUUAGUUUAUCUUACUGUUUCACAGAAAUAGUGAUUUAAAUCAAUUUUGCAUAGCAGAGGCUAAUGAGUAUAUUAAUUAAUAUAGCUAAAAUUCUUGAUUGUUCUAUUUUAAACAUAUUAAAAAUAAAUGAUCAUUGUAGCUAAUGACUUAAAUUUCUUACCUGGAUUGUAAUCUAACACCCUGGUGUAGGUUUACCGCAUGUCCUCAACCAAAUAGAGCUGUAAGGUGGUAACUGUCCCAGAAGUACACAUGGAAAAGGACAUGGAAGAGAAGAAAUUUUACGUUAGUAUAGCUAGGCAGAAACCUAAAUACUAAAUUCUACAGCCAUUACUGUAGUGAUCUCAUUGCCACCAAAUCGUAGUAUUAUGGAUGGCCAACACCAACUUAAAAGGCCAGCAGAUCCUUUAAAUGAAUAAUAGAUGGAGUGGUUUUCAUACAGCAUUUAAUUCAACAUGAAAUUUGUAGUCUACAGUGACAAAUUCUGCCAACUCUGAGUUCAGUGCCUAGUGUUGAGCUUCACAGUUGCUGGAGUUAGUUCUUUAACCAUUCUGUUACCACCUAUUAACAGUUAAACCACAUACAGUUAGUGUAUAAGUUUCUUAUCUAAUUAAAACUUAAAGUAUGGAAGAAUCAUAUAUGCUAUGAAUAAACAAGUAGAAUUUUGAGCAAAAUAAAAUACCAGCAAAUAAUAUCAACAAACAAAUCUAACUUGGAAUGUAAAAAUUGAAGCAAGAUGAUAGGUGGUUCUGGAGAUUGUGCUUUCUGCCACAUCAGGUGUCACCAUUAUAAUUAAGAAGUAGGCUAUCUGGAAAGCAGAGAAUGGACUGGUGGUAUAGACCAGUCUUUUAGGGAACACACCUGAAUUGUAGUAAUACAUUCAGUGUAUGUAUUUUUGAGAAGGGAUAAUAAACUGCAUUUAGAAAGGAAUAAUACACAUAUGUAACAUGUCUGCAACUUGAAACAUUAAAUUAUUGUCAUAUGUACCAUAUAUCCAGAUUUCUUUCCUCCCAUUGCUUAGUAAGAAAACUGAAUUUUUAGAAUUUCCCCAUUUAUAUCUUUAAGAUUUACAGUUGAGAUUAAAAACUUUGAAAAGGUUUUUUAAGAAAAUUUUUAUUACUUUAAAAAUACUGCUCUAUUUUCAUAGAACUAUGGAACUGCUAACCAGUACUUUCUGUUGUUCAUUCGAACAAACAUUUUUUGUUUGAACUAGUAGUAUGUUCCUAGUAUCAUCACUGUAAAUAAAUUUGCAGCUAAAUAAGCAAAUGGGAUUUAUAGAAAUCUACUUUUUGAAAAUAUUUUUCAUAUAUUCAGUUUCAUAUGUUCACUUGCUUACGAAUAUCUUCUGAGAUGUUUUCAUAUGAAAAAUGGAGAAAAAGGUCUCUGGAAAAAAACUAGACAAAUGGGUAUCGGAAGCAUAUAGUAAUAGCAGUUUUAAUAGUACGAUUAGGAUUUUGCAUUUCUGAGCUUGAAUUUGUUGUUGAAGGACUGUAGGUACAUAGCUAAAAACUUUGACUUUACUUCCAAUGUAUAAUAAAUGUAGGCCUGUAAUUACCAUAUCUUUCCACAAGGUGGAUGUCUUGAUGUUAGGUUCUUCCUCCCCGCUCCCACCACCAUUUCAAUUGUCAAAAAAUUACUUAGGUGAUAUGAUUUCAAAGUCUCUUUAUUUUAUUUUUAUAUUUUUUGAGACAGGGUCUUGCUCUGUUGCCCUGGUUGGAGUGCAGUGGUGCAAUCACGGCUCACUAUGGCCUUAACCUCCCGGGCUCAAGUGAUCCUGCCACCUCAGCCUCCCUAGUAGCUGGGACUACAGGCGCAUACCACCAUGCCCAGCUAAUUUUUUGUUUUGUAGAGAUGGAGUUUCGCUAUGUUGCCCAGGCUGGUGUCGAACUCCUGGACUAAAGCAAUCCACUCAUCUCGGCCUCCCAAAGUGCUGGGAUUACAGGCAUGAGCCACCAUGCCCAGCCCCCUUUAAAUUUUUUUAGAAAUACUUUUUACAAAGUCAUAUAAUGUAGUAUUUCCUCUAUUACAUUAGCUUAAAAGUUACUAGAUGUUUCUAGAAGAUAUUUAAUUUCCUCUCACUAAAUUACUAACAUGCUUGUAAAAAUGUUUUGAACUCCUUAAAAACAGAACUUAUGAUUUAAAUAUUCAUGGUUGCUUUAAUAAUUUUUUCUGAAAAUAGGGGCAAAUGAUUUGUAAAUUUAUUGCAUAAAAAGCUCAUUAUUGAAUACUAGUAAUGAAGAAUUCUGAUAAUUCAUAUAUACUGUUAUUCAGUAGGACAAAUAGUUUUUUCUAAAUCUGUUGGCUGUUAAGUAUAUAAACUUUCUCUUCAAAUUAUAAAUAUAUGCAAAUGCGUGUACAUAUACAUGUAUGUCAUCAGUGUAAUAUGACUUGUGAAUUGCUUUUUAAUUUUAUUCCUCUAACUUGAUAGUUGUGAUGUGCAGGUGGAGAGUAAAUAUACUUGAUUCAAUUUUAGUUUAUCUCUUAACCCUUAUAAUACCUGAUAAGAACAUGAAAUAUGUAAGUAUAGAGUAAUAGUUUGUGCAUAAUAAAAACACAAUGGUAGAAGUUAGAUACUAUUGCCACAAAUUUUGAUUUAAGUGAAUAUGUCUGCUGGUUUUAGGAUAUCUUAGAACCUUUGAGUCUGAACCAGUCCAAACCCUCCUUUGGUUAUCCUGCACUUUACCUUUUUAGUUUUAUUAUCCACUAGUUAUGGGACUUGGGGAAAAAACUAAAUAUAUGUCCCAUCUAACCAGGUCAUUUCUAACUAUAGGAUCUGCCUGGUUCUUUUGUUAAGCAGUACUGAUCUUUUGUACUUUGGGGGCCAAGGUGGUUUCUAAACAGUAGCACCUUUUCCUUUUCUGUUUCAUAGUAAAUAUAUUAAUAUUUCUAUGUGAGGGAAAUUGAAAUCUUAGUUUUACAUAAUUUGGGCUCCCAUUAAUAUUUUAAAUUGAAUAUUAAAUACAGAGAGCUUCUAAUAUGUUGCUUAAGAUAGAAAAGAGGUAAAGUUUUGGCUACAAAUAAUGGGUUAUGAAUAACAGAAAAUAUAUAAUGUAUAUAUAUAUAUAUAUAUCAAAUCCUUUAAAUUUAACUGACUUCUAAUUAGAAAGGAUUUAGAUACAUUUCACAAACAAAUUGAGGCUCAGAGAAGUCAACUGAUUCACAGAAGGUUACAGAGCAGCUAAGAGGUAGAGCUGGAAUUUUUCUACCAUAACAAUUUCUUAUUAAAAAAAACUAUAAUUCAAUGAAUAGUGUGUUUUGCUAGUCUCUAGGACUGAUCAUAAGUCACUUUGGACAAAGUGCUAACAUAAAGACUUGGCAGUUUCUGUGGGCGUCUGACCCAGUAGCAGUCUUAAGUAGAAAAGGAAAAAUAGUGGAAAGCAAUGAGGUAGCAUAUGUGGCAAGAAGUCAUAGAGGACACUCAGUUGCUCCAGGUGCUACCUGGCAACCAUAUCAGUAGCUAACAUUUAUUGGAUUCCCAGAACGUCCUCAGCAAUGUGCCAGCACUUUAGCUACUUUGUCUUAUUUAGAUACUACAGCAAUGUUGUGUGAGAGAGAUAUGACCAUACUAUAGAAAAAACAAGUAACUUGUUGAAUAGCACAGAGCUUGGAUUUGUGCACAAGUUCUGCAAGCUCUGAAAGUCAUGCUCCAAGUUACUGUGCUUCCUGCCUCACCAGUAUACCAGGAGGGAAGGAGGAGGGAAGGCUCAUCUCUGUAAGGACACUUAUUUGAAAGCCAAUUAAAAAUAUUUUUCAGGGAACAUGUAUUGUUAGUUUCCCCCUUUGUGCCAAGAUUUUCACCUUUGUGCUGGGGUAAAUUUCCUUUCUUUAACAGUGUUUGCAGAGGUGAGCUUAAAAAUACUCUAAAGAGGCAUACUUUUCAUUUUGAUAGAAUUUUUCAACAAAUUAUUGCUUAUUUCUUGGUUAAAGGCACUCAAUUUGAUUUUCUAAGGCACAAACCAAACACAUAAAAAGUUGGAAUUCUCAUUCAUGUGUUUGGAUUCUGAUCGUUCACAAGUAAAAAUUGACUUGUUUCACAGAUCCCUGUUCUAAAGUACCACUCAUCCCAACCACAAGAAAAUGUAAAGCCUGGGUUAAUUUCCUGCAAUAAGUAGUCAUUUAAUUAAAGAACAAAAUUAACA